rnacentral:rRNA from 1 species
CGAUGCGUAGGGGUUCUGAGAGGAAGGUCCCCCACACUGGUACUGAGACACGGACCAGACUCCUACGGGAGGCAGCAGUGAGGAAUAUUGGUCAAUGGGCGGGAGCCUGAACCAGCCAAGUCGCGUGAGGGAAGACGGUCCUAUGGAUUGUAAACCUCUUUUGCCGGGGAGCAACGGGGUCCUUGCGAGGGCCUAAUGAGAGUACCCGGAGAAAAAGCAUCGGCUAACUCCGUGCCAGCAGCCGCGGUAAUACGGAGGAUGCGAGCGUUAUCCGGAUUUAUUGGGUUUAAAGGGUGCGUAGGCGGGCUGUUAAGUCAGCGGUCAAAUGUCGGGGCUCAACCCCGGCCUGCCGUUGAAACUGGUGGCCUCGAGUGGGCGAGAAGUAUGCGGAAUGCGUGGUGUAGCGGUGAAAUGCAUAGAUAUCACGCAGAACUCCGAUUGCGAAGGCAGCAUACCGGCGCCCGACUGACGCUGAGGCACGAAAGCGUGGGUAUCGAACAGGAUUAGAUACCCUGGUAGUCCACGCAGUAAACGAUGAAUGCUAGCUGUCCGGGGCUUCGGUCCUGG